rnacentral:rRNA from 1 species
AAAAAUUAAUAAAAAAAUAUUAAAGUAGUAUUAGUUAAGUUCUUGAAAUUUAAAAAAUUUGGCGGUAUUUUAGUCUAUUCAGAGGAACCUGUUUUGUAAUCGAUAAUCCACGUUGUACCUUACUUAAAUUUGUUUAUAUAGUUUAUAUAUCGUUGUUUAUAGAAUAUUUUAUUAAAAUAAUAAUUUUCAGAAUUUUUAAUAUAAAAAUAUAUCAGAUCAAGAUGUAGCUUAUGUUUAAGUUUAUAAUGGGUUACAAUAAAUUUAUUUUUGGAAAAAUAUUUAAAAUAUAAUUUGGAAAUUGGAUUUGAUAGUAAAUUUAUAAAGAUAAAUAAAUUGAUUUUAGCUCUAAAAUAUG